rnacentral:ncRNA from 1 species
GACCGAUAGCGAAGUAGUACCGUGAGGGAAAGGUGAAAAGAACCCCCAGUGGGUAGUGAAAUAGAACGUGAAACCGUGCUGAGCUCCCAAGCAGUGGGAGGGGAAAGUGAUCUCUGACCGCGUGCCUGUUGAAGAAUGAGCCGGCGACUCAUUGGCAGUGGCUUGGUUAAGGGAACGGAACCCACCGGAGCCGUAGCGAAAGCGAGUCU